AGUACGUUGGCUCAAAGAUGGGAAACCAUUAGAAGAAGAAAGCCCAAGGCAUAAGAUCACUAAGAAAGGUCACUCUUAUACAUUAAAAAUCCCAUCAACAUUAGAAGCUGAUGUUGGACAGUAUACGGUGGUUACUUCAGACCACUCAGGUGAACGUAGUGCUACUUUCUCACUCAAUGUCUUAAUGGAAGGGGAUCUUUGAAUCUAGGAAUCUUUUUAUAAGACUUUCGGAAAAGAAAAAAACAACUUGGAGAAAAGAACGUUUUUAAUCCUUACCUGAUCAUUUGCUUUCUCAUGGAUACCGUCAAAUAAGCUUCAUAAUACUUCCUUCUUUUUUGGUUUGGUUUGGUUUCAGUUUGUUUAAUCAUGUUUAAAGAACUAUUUCAGCUCUUAAGUGAAAAUUUGUAAGAAAUGUCUCUUUGUAUUAUAAACUUUCACUUGAAUAGUAGCAUCCAAGCAAUUGUUUCAUGAUUUUGUUUCUCAUAAACGGCAAUCAAAUGUGUUGCCGUUGUUUUGAAACUAUAAACAAUAACCACAAUUGUUGUGGCUCCAAUAGAGAUGACUUUCUUAUCUAUGAAAUAUAUAAUUAUAACUAUUAUUUACUAACUGUUAAGAAAUACUGUAAGUAAUAAUUAAUUCUGUAUAUGUUUUGGUAAUGAAUAAAUUAAACACUAAAGCACUAGGAAUAACUUGUAUUUAGAUGAAGUAAUUAACACAAGCUGUAGAAGUAAGCUUAAUUACCCUAGAAGCAUUCAUUUAAGAGCUGCAGUGUAAACUUGGAGAAACAUGGUGAUAUGAUGUAUUAAAGAGAAAUUGAUGGACACAUUUCUGUUAAAAUAUUUGUUGAGUGAUUGUAACCCUUCAAGUAUCUGUUUUAUUUGUGAUAGGUCCUUUUGAUGUUGUGAAUAAAAAUUAUGAAAUGUA